GACUCUAAGUGGUGGAUCACUCAGCUCAUGCAUCAAUGAAGAACGCAGCCAGCUGCGAGAACUAAUGUGAAUUGCAGGAUACAUUGAUCAUCGACACUUCGACUGCACUUUACGUACACGGGUUACUCCCGGGGCUACACCUGUCUGAGGGUCA